rnacentral:rRNA from 1 species
AUUGAACGCUGGCGGCGUGCCUAACACAUGCAAGUCGAGCGGUAACAGGUGUAGCAAUACAUGCUGACGAGCGGCGGACGGGUGAGUAACGCUUGGGAAUCUGCCUAUUAGUGGGGGACGAACCCGGACGAAACUACGGGCGUAAUACCGCAUACGCUCUACGGAGGAAAGACCGGGGACCGCAAGGCCUGGCGCUAAUAGAUGAGCCCAA